UACUCCAUCCUCUCUGAGUAGA
rnacentral:miRNA from 1 species